rnacentral:rRNA from 1 species
UGCCAGCCGCCGCGGUAAUACGGAGGGGGUUAGCGUUGUUCGGAAUUACUGGGCGUAAAGCGUACGUAGGUGGUUGAAAAAGUUAGUGGUGAAAUCCCAGAGCUUAACUCUGGAACUGCCAUUAAAACUUUUUAGCUAGAGUGUGAUAGAGGUAAGUGGAAUUUCUAGUGUAGAGGUGAAAUUCGUAGAUAUUAGAAAGAACACCAAAUGCGAAGGCAACUUACUGGGUCACUACUGACACUGAGGAGCGAAAGCAUGGGUAGCGAAGAGGAUUAGAUA